UACGUAGGGUGCAAGCGUUAAUCGGAAUUACUGGGCGUAAAGCGUGCGCAGGCGGCUUUGCAAGACAGAUGUGAAAUCCCCGGGCUCAACCUGGGAACUGCAUUUGUGACUGCAAGGCUAGAGUACGGCAGAGGGGGAUGGAAUUCCGCGUGUAGCAGUGAAAUGCGUAGAUAUGCGGAGGGACACCGAUGGCGAAGGCAAUCCCCUGGGCCUGUACUGACGCUCAUGCACGAAAGCGUGGGGAGCAAACAGG
rnacentral:rRNA from 1 species